GACGACGCUGGCGGCGUGCCUAAUACAUGCAAGUCGAACGGUCUUUCUAUGGAAGCUUGCUUCCACUGAGAAGAUAGUGGCGAACGGGUGAGUAACACGUGGGUAACCUGCCCAUAAGAGGGGGGAUAACAUCCGGAAACGGGUGCUAAUACCGCAUAGUUUUCUUGAUCGCAUGAUUGAGAAAGGAAAGACGGCCUUUGUGCUGUCGCUUAUGGAUGGACCCGCGGCGUAUUAGUUAGUUGGUGAGGUAACGGCUCACCAAGACGAUGAUACGUAGCCGACCUGAGAGGGUGAUCGGCCACAUUGGGACUGAGACACGGCCCAAACUCCUACGGGAGGCAGCAGUAGGGAAUCUUCCGCAAUGGACGAAAGUCUGACGGAGCAACGCCGCGUGAGUGAAAGAAGGUUUUCGGAUCGUAAAACUCUGUUGUCAGAGAAGAACAAGUUGGAGAGUAACUGCUCCAGCCUUGACGGUAUCUGACCAGAAAGCCACGGCUAACUACGUGCCAGCCGCCGC
rnacentral:rRNA from 1 species